rnacentral:rRNA from 1 species
UACGAGAGGGGCAAGCGUUAUCCUAAAUGAUUGGGCGUAAAGUGUUUGUAGGCUGUACUUUUAGUUGUAAGUAAAAACUAAGAUAAUAUCUUUUUAAUGCUUACAAUACGUUAGUACUUGAGUAUAAUUGAGGAUAACAGAAUUUUAUAGGGAAGAGUGAAAUCUAUAGAUCUAUGAAGGAAUGCCAGAGGCGAAGGCGGUUAUCUGGGUUAAUACUGACGUUGAGGAACGAAAGCAUGGGGAGCAAACAGGAUUAGAAA